rnacentral:rRNA from 1 species
UACGAAGGGGGCUAGCGUUGCUCGGAAUCACUGGGCGUAAAGGGUGCGUAGGCGGGUCUUUUAAGUCAGGGGUGAAAUCCUGGAGCUCAACUCCAGAACUGCCUUUGAUACUGAAGAUCUUGAGUUCGGGAGAGGUGAGUGGAACUGCGAGUGUAGAGGUGAAAUUCGUAGAUAUUCGCAAGAACACCAGUGGCGAAGGCGGCUCACUGGCCCGAUACUGACACUGAGGCACGAAAGCGUGGGGAGCAAACAGG